AAGUUGCCGUUUUUAUUCCUCCUGUUGGGAUAACAUUUUUUAAAAGUUUCUUGGGUUUUUAGUGUUGCUGAUUGAUUGCCUAACCCUUAAUGAACCUCCCCCUGCCGCGACGCUGUUACAGCCGUUAUCCUUGACUUCCAACACUGGAAGUGUCUUGAAUGCUUGCUUCAGCCAUCAGCCAGCAAGGAAGAACAGACCAAUUCUUUUUGCGAUUUGCCCCUGAGAUAUGGCAUUGCACUGCUUAUAUAUCACGCUAAUUGAUAGCAAAAUAUUGAUCAAUGAUAUAAAGGUGAUGACUCAACCUCAUGCCAAGGGCUCUCAAAGUAUAAUUGUUCUAUGACCAACUGCUAAGGCCAAUUGAAGCAUACUUCAUUUUACAUGAUUUUAGGAUCAGUCUUUUAUACCACCCUUUGCUGGCAUAAACUAAAAGUCUAUCACAUACAGAACUACAGUCUAAUUUCAAUGGGGUAGAAGCAUUGUAAAUAUAUACUCUUUGCAACUCCUGGUGGUACUUUAUUUUGUCUUUAUUUCAACCAUUGAAAUAUAUUCUUGGAAAUGUACUUUUGGAUAAGUAGGGCUGAGCCAGUUGGACCUCUGGUUGUCUAGUCAUUGUGAGAAGUAAACCUAGCAAAAAUCUUGUUCUAUUUUUCAAUCAAAAAGCAACUACAAAUGCAUAUUCCACGCAAAUGGAUGUUUUUAACGACCAAUUGAGUAAAGACAUCCCUAUCUUAACUGGCCUAAAUUUCUUCUGGUAGUGUCAGAUCACCUUUCAGAAGUGCCACUUAAGGAGGUUUGUUUGAUUUUUUUUGUUGUUGUUGUUGUUGUUGUUUUUUGUAAUGCACUGUUUUUAAUCUUUUUUUUUUUGGUUUUAAAAGCACAAUCACUAAACUUUAUUUGUAAACCAUUGUAACUAUUAACCUUUUUUUUCUUAUUGAAGAAACUGUUGAGAAGUGUUUCUAGCCUGUUUUGUUAAUGCUCUGUGUUUGUAUUUGCAAUAUUUGAAUGGUGACAGCUGGUGAGGUCACGUACAGACUUUAUCGUGGGCUGUGAACCAAAUGGUUCCAAUUUUUCCUGGACUUAAAAAAAAAUUUUUUUGUUCUAAGUUUUUCGUGGCCAAUGUUGAAUCUUAUAAGAUUUCCUUAGAAGCUCAUAAGAGGAAUUCCAACUCGGAAUUGCCAAGUGAUGCUCUGUGACUGUAGGUUUCUAUAAUUUUUUUUGACAUUUUAAGAAUUUCAUUGACUUUAUAAUUGGUGCUAUUUGAAGAAAACAAAAUGAAUCUUUAGUCAUGCAUAGGUAUCAGGCUUGACCCCCACAAAGCCAAACAAAACUGAACUACAAAAUAAAUAAAUAAAUAAAUAAAUAAAUAAAUAAAUAAAAGCAAAUAAAAACAAAAGGCUGGUAUUCACCUAAAACUAAGUGUAUUCAUUUAGCUAAUUUGAAGAAGCCCCAUGUCCCAUAGAAAGGAUGUGCAGUUCUAAGGGAACAAUCCACGUGAUUAAUGUUUUCAUUAUGUUCAUGUAAGAAACCUCUUUAUUUUUAGCCAUACUUUUGCAUACUGAAAAUUCAAUAAUCAGAAAAGUAAUUUUGUCAUAUUAUUUAUUAAAAAUGUUCUCAAAUACAUCAUCCUUCCUUGUGUUGAUUUUUUUUUUCAUUGUAUGACUAUCAGAUUUAUUCCAUUAAAUCACAAAGUUGUUUUGUCUUCGCAUUUCACCACCACAUUAUGAAAACGAAGGAGUUCUCAGUUUUCCUAAUGAGCAUCCAGGUUCUACUACCAAGCAAAAAAUUCUCAUUGCAGUUGUGUGAAGUAAGUGGGAGCUGAUUCUCAAGUUGAAGUUAGCUGUGUGGUCAGAGAGCGACUCUGAAAGGUGUGCUGUGUUUGGUUCUGUAUGUGUAUCUGAAUUUCAGUUAGCCUGUUUCUGAAAUGAUCAGGAUGCAACUCCAGUAAACCUCAUUGGUCAAGCUUGAACCACCUAUGUUCUGUCAGUAAGAAAGCUUAUAAAUCCCAUUGCUUGUCAGAGAAAAUUUGGGCUGGCACUGAUAUACCAGGUUGCACGCUGUGAUCAGUUAAAGCACCAUACUGCAGAAUGUCACGUGGAUGGGGUACCAUGGCUACCGUGGCUUGGAAAUGUCAAGAUCCACAGAAUGUCCUGGAGCUUAGAUCCCUGACACCCACCCACCCACCCUGUGAUAUAGAUUCUUCUUCUUUUACCUAAAUUUUUGUGUUUACCAGAAAAGCUGAAGAAAUGAAACGGAACAAUGAAGGGCUUAAUUUGGAAUGUAAUUUUAUAAAAGUGAUGUGAUUAUCAUCAUCUACUUGAUAUAUAAACAGACCUAGAGGUCAAGGAGCUAGUUUCUUUGUUAAAAAACAAAUCACUGUGGGUUGGGGAGGGGGGAUAAGGAACAUAUGUAAUGGACAGAUUUUCUUUUUCUAGGUGGGUGAACUACUAAUAAGCUACUAUCUCUCUUUUAUAUUACAUGCUGCAGUUCACACACAAAAUUCUGUAUAUCAGAAGGCCGGGACAAGACCGGAUCCUGGCUUUGUCCCGGUUGUGUUUCUUUGGACAUGUUACCUAACCUCUAAGUCUCAGGUACUUCACCUGUAAAGUCAGUAAUACCUACCUCAAGGAGCGAUUGUCAUGAUUCAGUGAGUUGAUGUAUCUACACAGACUCUGUAAACUCCACAACGGUAUUAAGAUAUUGUUAUCUUUAUGGACUGAAAUUCACUACACAUGCAGUCUCCAUGUUUUUCAUCCCUGAUUUGUUCCUAAACAUUUGCAUGAGAGAAAAAGCAUAAGUGUGGUGUAAGGACGAGGGUCCUUCCAUCUCUGGUAAGUAAAACUCACUGUGAAAUUACCCCAUUGUGGAAUAAAUGCUUGCUGUUCUUGUUCGUUUCUUUGCUUUCGAAUGCAAGGGCAGUAAAUGAAUUGCUGGCAUUGUAUUUCUGGUAUUUUCUUCUUUGCACAGUUGGUAAUACAGAUAUGUCACUUGAGUUCUCAAUAAAUGGAUUUAGUGUC
rnacentral:lncRNA from 1 species